UUACGCCUCUCUAUGUGUCUGGACAUCUCCUACCUCCUUCACUGAGCCACUAGUUGAUUAUCGAUCCGUGUGUUUGUACGAACUAUAAGGGGGUAGAUAAACAUGCACAAACUACAGAUCUGUGACUCCGCGUACGUUUUGUCGACUGGUUGCUCGGACCCUUUGAAAGGUUUCUAAGUGUACCGAACCUAUACGUUAACGAACUACAACAACAGUAGUGUAUCUUCGAGAACACCGGAUUACCCAUUUCACAUACUGAGAUUAGUCCACUAAGCUCAUGGUGGUUUACACUAAUGAAGUCACGACGGAUACUGGUAGAUUAACUAUGGGGUUACCUUUUAAAGUUCCUAAUAUAAUUCCCAAGUUCCGAAGGACUGUUCACUGGUAUUGCUAACAAGUCCUUUGACGAACAAAGGGAACUCCUUGUACUGCGAUUUCCUAGUUCCCACAAAAAGUUAGUUCUCGAUAAUCAAUGGAACUGGUACAACAUAUAGAAGACUAAAGAAGUCAAUUUUCCAGUGGCUAACGACUUAACACAGAAAAUACGAUAUUACUUAAUGCUAAACAUAUAGCAAUUACGUC
rnacentral:rRNA from 1 species